UGCCAAAUCAAAAUGCUACACAAAGAAAAAAGGACACAAAGUGAUAAAAGAAGGGAGCAGGGUGUGGAACUAAUAAAAUCAGAACGGCUAAAAGUACAGCAUGAUUGGUAAUCCUUCCCAGAAGCCUUGCAUUGCAGUGCCAUAACAUAUCAUAUUAUCAAAUGUGAGUUAACUCCACCAACCAAAAGUUCAAUUGAAGCGCCUAGCAUGAUUAUCAAUGUGCAUAAAGACAAAUUAGUUGUUCCACACCAGAGAAAAGCCCCCAAUGUAAUGUCAUUUGUCUUCUCAUUUGUUUACAUAGGAUGGAGCUUUGGCAAAUAAGUUUCAAUAUCAAUAAUGCAUUCACAACCAGACUCGUUUUCUUUCUCUUUUUAAUUCUAUAUACGUAAAAGUGAAAAAAUUAUUCCAUAAAAAUUCUAUAAUCAGUACCAUAUUCAUCUCAAUGAUGAUUUUCAGCAACAAAAAAAUUGCUUAGUGAUAGUUUCAACAACAAAUUGUUCAGGGUUCAGUGAUAAUCAGUGACGAAUUGACAGUCGCGGAUUAUUUUCAGCAACAAAAAAGGCAUACUAGUUCAGUGAUAUUUUCAGCACCAAAAUCAAAGACAGCAACAAAACAGAAAAGGAAAGAACUGGAAAAUUUAUUGGAAUUCACCAAAUUGGGACCAGCUUCUGGUUGUGCGAAGGAAGCUGGCGGCGAGGAGGAAUCCCCGGGACCUGUUGCUUCUGCCUCCGGCAACGACGAGCACAACGAAGGUGCGGGACUGACUGCGAGACGGUGACGAGACAGGGUACGACGAAGACGACCAGUCCCAGGACCUGCUGCUUCUGCCUCCGGCGACGACGAGGGCACGGAAGGCGCGCGAGCGCGACUGAGUGCGAGACCAGAGACCGUGAUAGAGACCGGAGCCGAGAGAGCGAUGACGAGUUGAGUGCGACACCAGACAGUGAGAGAGACUGGAGCCGAGAGAGGGAGAGAGCUUGGGUGCGAGAGCAAUGACCAAUGAGCCACAGUAGGAGAUGAGAAAACUCGAG
rnacentral:lncRNA from 1 species